CUCCAUGAGUCCGAUCGGGAACCAUCUCCACCAUCACAACAUGAGAAGUGGUAGCAGGCUCGACAAAUAUGAAAUGGAGAGUACACUUCAGAUGCCUCAAGAGCAGUCGCUGAGAAAAUUGUAAGUAGGAAACUCGAAAAAUGAAAAAUUAAGAAAUGAAAAAUUGAGAAAUGAAAAAAAAAGCAAACACAUGUAAGUGUCACACGAUUUAUUCCAGCAAAUUCAGAAAUGAAAAAUUAAAAAAAAAAG
rnacentral:lncRNA from 1 species